rnacentral:rRNA from 1 species
AUGACGACCGGCAAACGGGUGCGGAACACGUACGCAACCUUCCCAUAACUGGUGAAUAGCCUUCCGAAAGGGAGAUUAAUACACCGUAACAUAAUGAAGAGGCAUCUCUUUAUUAUUAUAGGCUUCGGCCGGUUUUGGAUGGGCGUGCGCCUGAUUAGGUAGUUGGCGGGGUAACGGCCCACCAAGCCUGCGAUCAGUAACUGGUGUGAGAGCACGACCAGUCACACGGGCACUGAGACACGGGCCCGACUCCUACGGGAGGCAGCAGUAAGGAAUAUUGGUCAAUGGACGCAAGUCUGAACCAGCCAUGCCGCGUGAAGGAUGAAGGCCUUCUGGGUUGUAAACUUCUUUUACCUGGGAAGAAACCUCAAUUUUCUAAUUGAGUUGACGGUACCAGAGGAAUAAGCACCGGCUAACUCCGUGCCAGCAGCCGCGGUAAUACGGAGGGUGCAAGCGUUAUCCGGAUUUACUGGGUUUAAAGGGUGUGUAGGCGGGCUUUUAAGUCAGUGGUGAAAUCUCCGGGCUCAACCCGGAAACUGCCAUUGAUACUAUUAGUCUUGAAUUUUGUUGAGGUAGGCGGAAUAAGUCAUGUAGCGGUGAAAUGCAUAGAUAUGACUUAGAACACCAAUUGCGAAGGCAGCUUGCUAAACAAACAUUGACGCUGAGGCACGAAAGCGUGGGGA